AACGAACGCUGGCGGCAUGCCUAACACAUGCCAGUCGAACGAGACCUUCGGGUCUAGUGGCGCACGGGUGCGUAACGCGUGGGAACCUGCCCUUAGGUUCGGAAUAACUCCCCGAAAGGGGUGCUAAUACCGGAUAAUGUCUUCGGACCAAAGAUUUAUCGCCUUUGGAUGGGCCCGCGUUGGAUUAGCUAGUUGGUAGGGUAAAAGCCUACCAAGGCGACGAUCCAUAGCUGGUCUGAGAGGAUGAUCAGCCACACUGGGACUGAGACACGGCCCAGACUCGUACGGGAGGCAGCAGUGGGGAAUAUUGGACAAUGGGCGAAAGCCUGAUCCAGCAAUGCCGCGUGAGUGAUGAAGGCCUUAGGGUUGUAAAGCUCUUUUACCCGGGAUGAUAAUGACAGUACCGGGAGAAUAAGCUCCGGCUAACUCCGUG
rnacentral:rRNA from 1 species